AACACUGUUAACCUGCGGUACCUGCGGAGGGAUCAUUACACAAUACAAUAUGAAGGCUGUCCGCAGCUGGAGUAUUUUAUUACCCUUGUCUUUUGCGCACCUGUUGUUUCCUGGGCGGGUUCGCUCGCCACCAGGACCACCAAAUAAACCUUUUUUAUGCAGUUGCAAUCAGCGUCAGUACAAACAAUGUAAAUCAUUUACAACUUUCAACAAUGGAUCU
rnacentral:misc_RNA from 1 species